GUUUGCGACGAGAGUUGCGGAUCAGCCUGCUUCAUCAAGUCCUGGAGAAUCUCCAUCCCCAUAUGAGGAGUGGAGAGAAGCUGAAGCUCCAGAGAUCAGACGGAUGGGAAAGCACCAUUCCUCUGAUAAGUCAGUGGCUGGUGGUGGUGUGAUCAUCGGUGGUCUUGUGACUGCAAUUUUUGCUGCUGUUUUUUGCUACAUUCGAGUCACUAGAAAAAAACAGGGCGAUGGUGUUCUUGGCCGCUGAGCUCUGUACUUGUUUUCAUGGGC
rnacentral:misc_RNA from 1 species